rnacentral:rRNA from 1 species
UACGUAGGGGGCAAGCGUUGUCCGGAAUUACUGGGCGUAAAGGGCGCGUAGGCGGCCAUCUAAGUCAGACGUGAAAUCCCCCGGCUUAACCUGGGAACUGCGUCUGAUACUGGACGGCUUGAGUAUGGGAGAGGGAUGUAGAAUUCCAGGUGUAGCGGUGAAAUGCGUAGAUAUCUGGAGGAAUACCGGUGGCGAAGGCGGCAUCCUGGACCAUUACUGACGCUGAGGCGCGAAAGCUAGGGGAGCAAACAGG